ACAGGUUCGAAUCCCAGACCGCCACUCAGGGUUAAAAAAAAAAUUUUUUUUUUUUUUAACAUUUAUUUAUUAUUGAGAGACAGAGAGAGACAGAGCAUGAGCAGGGGAGGGGCCGAGAGACGGGGAGACGCAGAAUCCGAAGCAGGCUCCAGGCUCUGAGCUGUCAGCACAGAGCACAAAUCGAGAGGUCAUGACCUGAGCCGAAGUGGGAUGCUUAACUAUCGGAGCUACCCGGGCGCCCCGCCACCCAGGGUUUUAUAGCCUUAGAGAAAUCACAUUAACUCACUAAGCCUAGUUUCUCAUCUGUAUGGUGAGGGUAAUCAUCAAUAAUAGAGGCAUCUGUGAAGUGCUCUCAGGAGAAGAGUUAGUGAUGAAGAGCCGAGCCUGUUAGGAGAAAUGGAUAUGAGGAGCCAGAGCUGGAGGAGGCCAGUGCUAUAUAGUAGAUGAAGCCAGGGUCAUCCUUCACCUCCCUAAGUAGAGGGGUUCACACCUGAGCUGCUAUCAGCGCCUAAGCAAGGAAGAGACCCUCCAAGAGGGCCUGACCCAACACUGCCAUUCUGGGGAAAACUUGAGCACUGCUGGUUGGGUUUGUCAUACCUUGUCAGUGCCCUGGUUGCUGGUCCACCUAUCCUAAGUGCUGUGAAGGAGACUUGAGAACUGACUUUCCCUCCAAGGUACCAUCUUGUCCGGGAGACAAAAACCAAUGCAGCGAGGACACUUCACUGCAAGGAGGGGCAAGCCUGGCAACCCAACUCUGGAGCUCUGCGGAGGGCACUGUUUGCCUGGUUUUCUCACUAGGGCCGGACCAGAGCAAAUAUUCCUUCUUGCUGAUUAGGACUCUCUUUGCCAGAAGAACCCAAAGAGAGCAGAGGGCCCAUCCCCAGGGGAUGAACCAGAUUGCUCCAAUGCAGCCAUGACGGUCCUGUUCUUCUUUGCCAAAUACUCAGUUUCCCAGCCUCCCUUGAAGUGAGAAGAGGAUGCCGCUCAGUUCUGCCCAUCAACAUGUAAAGGGAAAUUUACUGGCAGGAUUCUGGAAAACUUUUAUCUUCAUGAUAAAGUAGUACUGCCUCAAUCCCUUCGUGGAGCUGUGGCAGCCACUUUGUGGCAUGGAGAGAACUACAUACUAUGGAUGGGAGAGUAGGAACAUUAAGUCUUAUGUCCUUGAAGCAAUACUUAUGACAGGAUGCUUGUGACCAGAAUUGUCAGCCGCUGUAACAUGGCUCGGGAUACUACAUCUAGCUGUCCUGCAUCACCUACCUUCCAAGCAGCAGCCUGGUGUCCAGAUGCUGAGUUGGACCCACCUAGAAACCCUUCAGGGUGACAAUCCUAGCCGAAGAGAAAGCCACGGGCAGAAACUUGGAACCACGACUCCUCCUGGGCAACAUGGAGGAGCUUGGGCUUUGGGCCAACCUUCUGGCAUGGCCCAGUGAGCACCUCCGGACUUAUGCCUCCUCUGGGAAAUCCGUUUACUCCAGCUUUGCCCUCCACACCCCCCCUAACCCAGCUUCACCUCCCAAACCUGCAAAGACACAAGCAGGCCAAAGAAUGCCACUCAAGAGGCUUUCUCCAUUUUAUUUCUUUGGGAAAAGAAAACGAAGUCUUUCCAUCACAUAUGGUAGAGAUAUAUAUUUAUAUAUAUUUAUAUAUAAUUUCUUUUGUGGUUGGAAGUCCCAAAGCUGAGUCUGUUCAUUUUUUUUUUUUUUUUUUCUAUUUUUUUUCCUACUAAUGCCUUCUCUUCCCCCUGCCCCUCUGGCCUAGGCCCAGGUUCUGGGGCAGGUGCAGUGAGGGGUGAGUGGAAUGGGCAGUGAUUACCAGGAUGGCUCCCCCAACCAGUUCAGAGAUCUGGUGAGGGUCACCGGGAAGGGGCUGUGCAGAGGGACAGAGGCCACACAGAGGGGCACUCUUGUUUUUGUGGGGGACGCACAGCUCAUUAAACAGUCACCAGUCAUGGGAGGAGGCUGGUCAGGGGUUGGGGAACUUGCUCACAGUAGUUGCCAGCUCUCUCCACCCUGCCCUCCAAACCCAGUCUUGGGGGUGGGAGGAAGAGAGUGAAAAGAGAGAAAUACAAGGGUUGAGGGCCAAGCCUCCUCUAAUUUUUAUUGCUGGUGAAUUAGAAAUUUGCCUUUCCCUUCCUGUCUUACGGAGAUAGACUCUGAGAGGAUACCGAGAGGGAAGUGACAUUGCUGUCCCAGCCCCCACUGAUGGCCAUGCAGGCCUACCCUGGGCAAACCCAGGGUCCUGGGAACUCAGGGGUCAGUAUUUCUCUCAGGUCAGCUUUGUCCUUCAAGGGCAAUCACAACCAUCCCCCUCGCCCCCCAAAACAAAGGCCUCUGGCUCAGGCUUGGGCCCAUUGGAGCUUGGAAGUGGGCAGUGCACCAAAGAUCAAGCAGAAUUUUCUACUGGAAGAAAAGGUGAGGUUUGGGGGAAGAGGCGGCCUAGGACAAUGAUGUUCUGAGCGUGAAAGCAGAGGGAGGCUGGGGGAAUCGAGUGGGAGAAGACACAGGAAGACAUCACAGACACUCAUAUGACCUCAGAAACUGGGUGAGGGGAGUGCCUGAGAGGCAGGUAGCACUUACUAGCUGUAGUUAGAGCCGGACAGUGGCCCUGGGUGUGGGGUGAGCCAAGCAGAUGGGGCUAUCACCCUGUGGGAUCCUGGCCGGAAGGGUGGGGUAGAGCUAAAAAGCCUCCAGGUGAACCUUCCCAAGUACAGGAGGGCAGAUCUUCCCCGGGCACUGAACCUCCACCCCAGCCUCCCCUCCGGCCUGAUACGCACAUACGGACAUACACUCAGGACCAGGCCAGGCUCUGAGGCCUAAGCCCAAGAGACCUUGGCAGGGGAGGGGCUGGGCAAGUAGCCCUCUCAACCACAGACAGGCCAUCUGCUCCCACUUGUCCUGCCAAUCUGCCCAGGGAGGGGUAAUAGAGCAGGAAGGAGAGAGGCCAGGAGCCCAAGGUCUGUCAGCUUCAGCAGAUCCCAUGCAGGCCCUCUCAGGCUACAUGGCCUAGGAGGUGACCACAGGGAGCAUCACUGAACACCGGGGUGGCCAACAGUAGGAGCCCAGACCUACCAAGGGGCUGGGGCACCUCACGGCACUUCAGGCCUGCUAUCUCCAUCUCUAACAAAGCAGCACUAAUAAGGGGAGCAUGGGCCCCCUGCUGCCUGGGCCCCUCAACCCCCACUCAUUCUGCCUCCCUCUAUCCCCUCCUUGGGAGGAGGGUCCGAGUGGGUUGCCCAGCCAUAGGGCCCGGAGGGCCCCCAGUGGGGGGAGGGGAGGGGUCUGGUCACAGCUGCUUUGAGAACCUCUUUGGUCUGGGGACAUGGGGGACAUGGGGAAGAGAGAAGGUGGGGAGGAGACACUGUGGACUCUGGCCUUUGACAGGGCAUUUGUCAAAAGGCCACAUGCCCAUGUUGGUGGGGGGGGGGGUCAGAUUUCUGUGGAC